ACGAUAGCUAAUACCGCAUAAAAGUCGAUAUCGCAUGAUGUUGACUUGAAAGGUGCAAAUGCAUCACUAAGAGAUGGACCUGCGUUGUAUUAGCUAGUUGGUGAGGUAACGGCUCACCAAGGCGACGAUACAUAGCCGACCUGAGAGGGUGAUCGGCCACACUGGGACUGAGACACGGCCCAGACUCCUACGGGAGGCAGCAGUAGGGAAUCUUCGGCAAUGGGGGCAACCCUGACCGAGCAACGCCGCGUGAGUGAAGAAGGUUUUCGGAUCGUAAAGCUCUGUUGUAAGAGAAGAACGAGUGUGAGAGUGGAAAGUUCACACUGUGACGGUAACUUACCAGAAAGGGACGGCUAACUACGUGCCAGCAGCCGCGGUAAUACGUAGGUCCCGAGCGUUAUCCGGAUCUAUUGGGCGUAAAGCGAGCGCAGGCGGUUAGAUAAGUCUGAAGUUAAAGGCUGUGGCUUAACCAUAGUACGCUUUGGAAACUGUUUAACUUGAGUGCAGAAGGGGAGAGUGGAAUUCCAUGUGUAGCGGUGAAAUGCGUAGAUAUAUGGAGGAA
rnacentral:rRNA from 1 species